CAAUAUCCUUCAGUUUCCGGAGUGACUCCCUCAUCACAUGGAUAUUGUGAAUAUCCAAGAAGACCAACUCUGCGUUUUGAUACGCGUCCUCGCUUUCGUAUCCGCCACCUUUCAUCUGCGGUCAUUUCAAGAUUGUUUGACCGCUUGCUUUGACCUUUGUGACAGCGUUUUUCCCACAAACCUUGUUAGCAGCCGCGUUGACGCUGGGUCUAGCGUCGAAAAUGAACAGUUUAUGCGACUGAGCGUUGGCGUCCAUGAUUGCCUGCAGGUAUUUUUCAUCCUCUUUGCUUCGCUUCCCGUUGACCCCGACCAUUGGCUGACUGCAACGUGUCACGGUCGCCUGACUCUCGGGGUGGAUCCAGGAGAGCACCUCAAUAAAGAGUACAGGCCGCGACUCUCUUUAGCUCCUCGUCCGGAAUGUUGACCGGCACGGCCAUCGUUGACGGGGAAACCCCAGGAUGAUCUUAUUCCUCCGUCUCAUUUUGCAACAAGUAUCCACCCUGCUAGACCGGCCAGCGUCGCACAGCCAUGCAUUUCCUGGAUGAACCAGAAAGUCUCGACAGCGCCACCAAAAGACUCUUGGCUUGGUUUCACUCGGCGAAAGGAAAAUCAAUGUAGCGAGAUGAUUCCAGGAAACAACACAGGUAGAAGAACACCAGAGGAGAAUGUGUCAGACUUCAGGACGAGAUCCAAAGAGAGGGGCAACCAGCGGCCCAUAUGGGAAGAAGAGUGGUGUCUAGAAGCGCAAAGGCAGAAAGCGGAGGCUGAGCGGUUGAAGGAGCCAAUGGAGGCCCUGAAGAACACUCUGCACAAAUACAGAGAAGAGAUAACAAUAAAAAAUGACACUAUAAGCAGGCAAUGUCACCAUUUGGAGACGAUACGUCAAGAAAUGAGCCAGGUGAAAGCUCAGCAUAGCCAUCUGAAGGAGGAGCUUAAGAACUGCCAAAAGGAGAAGGCGAAAAUAAUCUCACAGCUUGAAAAAUCUAAGAAACAGUCUGAUGAGGUCCUUGCAAAAAUGAGGAGGGAAGCUAGCCUGAAUGCCGAAACCGUCCAAAAGCAAGUCGAGGAAGCCGAAGAGAGGUCUUUAAAAAUGUCUGAAAAAAUACAGCAGAUGCAGAAGAAGCACGAGGAAGAGCUGCGACAGUUGACCGGCGAACACUACGGGGAAUUAUGCACUGCCCAAAAAUUAAAUCAUGAACUGCAGAGUAAACUUGAGUCGGUGACCCGGGAAUUGCUGCAGCUGAAAAGCAAUCUAUCGGAAGCAUCUGCAGAGAGAGAUGAAUUUAAAGAACGUCUAAGCCAAAUGAAACAAGCGUACGAGACUCAAUCGGCGACUCUGCACAGCCUCCGAAAUUACAUCGGCAAGGUUGUUGCCGACAAAGAAGAAAAGGAACGAUCGAACGAAGCAGUUGAGAGGCUCAACAAAGAGAAAGCUGCAUUGCAGAAAACCACAGAGUUGUUGACUGUCAGGCUUAACUCCAUGAGUGAAAUCGUCUCACUACAAGAGGAGAAGAUGCUGAAAAAGGCCUCGACAGACCCGCUGGUGGCAAAAAACUCUGAUGGUCUUCUUGUGCUACACCUCUGGAGGGAGAAGGUGUUCAAGCUAUGCGUCCAGCUUCGUUUGAAGGACGUGGGGCUGCGAGAAGAGAGGGGAAAACAUCUUUCUGAGGUCAGACUCAUGGAGCAACAGCUGCAAGAGGAGCACCAUCACGCAACUGUGCUCCAGCGUAGUCUCGAUGCCAGCGUUGCUGAACUAAACCAGGAGAAACUCCAAAAGGAGACUCUGAAACAGGACUUGACUCAUGUUUGCAAAGAGAACCAAGAAUUGAAGUCCAAGCAUUUCAACGUGGAGGCUGAGAUCAAAACCGCAACAGAGGCCAUGCACGGGUUUAAUGUGGCAUUUCAUCGUAAAAUGGCCGACGUGAAUGCAGCACAAGCAAAACUCAAUACUUUUAGCCAGCGGUUGAAUUUCGCCAGAGGCCGAGUGGAGACGGUGCAAGCUUUGUUCAUGAGAAGAAUUGCACUCCACAAAGUCCAGAAGACCAGUAAGCAAGCGGAACGAGCGGUGGACAGCAUCCAGAAUUUACAGAUAGAACUGAGUUUGGUGAGUGAAGAGAAACUCAAGCUCACACAGGAGCUGAAAAAAACCCCGGAGCUGAUUGAGGAAGCGUUGGCUGAUAUGAAAGAAGAAUAUGAGAGCAAGCUGAGGCAGCAGCAGGAGGAACUGGAGCAGUGCCGGAACGAGACGCAGAAGGCCGUGUCUGGCAGAGAGGAGGUCCAGCAGAACUUGCGGGAUGUCCUGGCUCAGCUGGAAGUCGGCAACGGCAGGCGGGACGAGCUUCAAUCGAAACUGCUAAGUCAAAAGGAGCACAGCGAGCAAGUUCUUCGUGAGCGGCUGUCUGAAAUGGAAAGCUGCUGUGCUGAAAAGCUUAAAGAGAUGGAGGUCCAACUCAGCACGGUUAAAAAAGAGCACACCAAAGCAGUUCUGACUUUACGACAGUUGGAAAGAGCGGUAGCUAGGAAACAGAACCACUGGAGAGAAACUGAAGCUUUACAAAGUGGGCAUACAAAAGACUCUCAACAAACAGAAGAGGCUGAGACCAAUAGACACAAACUACUGGCUGCAGUCGCUGAGCGAAACUUCCCCCGAGCGGCACCUAAACAAACGAUAUCUGCUCCUGAAGAACAACCUAGUGAGAAAAGCCGUUUUACGGGAGCAACGCUAGCAACUGAAGAGAGACUCCUUUGUGUUUUGGAGGAGCUCCACACGCUCAGUGCUGCAGUGGUAAACAGCUCGGAAGACUCUGCAGAAGAGGAGAAGGAGGGGCACAGUGACAUUCCCGAGGCCGUGUUAGGAACACACCUUUAAUAUGUGCAGUCUAUCCUCUGAAAAGCAAUUGCAUUUAUAUGAGGUACACAUCUUGAACUACACUUAAAUAAUAGAAGCCCAACGUGCGUCAUGAGCAAGAUUGACGCACCAACUCUCGCAAUCAGUUCUCCCGGGCACUUCAGAACAAAGAGCAGGGCGUUCUGUCCUAAAACAAGUAGCAUCGGAGAACGCCCGAUAUCCAACUGAUAACACAACUGACAAGACUCCAAGAUCCUCCUUUGACGCUGAGGGGGCAGAAUCCACAUCCUCGUUGCCCGGACAACAGUAACUCCCAAAUCCUCCUGUCCAAUCAACAAAAGACAAUAAUCCCCUAAUCCCACAUACCCCCUUCUUCAUCGUUCUUCACACCUUUCUUCCUGCCCACGGCCCGCCCUCGCGAGAGCUUUCAAAAGACUGAUCAUUUAGAUAACAACUGACGCUUCUCGGGGACAUUUCUAUGUAGCCGUUGUUUUGCCGACCCUGGAUCCAGCAUUGUCUCUCCGUCGUCUGUUCUGCCUUGUUUUUGACCAUUGUCGACGAAUAAAUUGUAAACCUGUUUUCGGUCAGCUCUUUUUUGAACCGUUCAAAACUGAGUCAGUACAAAGGGUUAACACCGGAGUGAACGUGCGGUAUUUGGCCCCUCCCAGCCGACUUGUGGGAGCGGUGCCAGCGGAACACCAUUUGGUUCGGCUGUCGCUGUUUCCGCGGCUUGCCGGGGUGGCCGAAUUCCUUCACCUGUAAAUGAACAGAAAGUGACCUGUAAAUGCCCCAAAAACUGGCAGAAUGUAAUGAAGUAAAAGUACUUCAUUACUCUACUUAAGUACACUUUUGCGUAUCUGUACUUUACCUGAGUGCACUUUUGCGUAUCUGUACUUUACCUGAGUGCAAAUAUGAAGUGUUACUUUUUACUUCACUACAUUUUACAGCAGGUGGCUGUACUUUUUACUCCACCACUUUUAAAUUGUCGCCUGCGUUACACUUGUUUUUUUCCCUCUUGUAAAUUGAUGGUUUCGUUUUCAUGCUCAAUUAAUGAGCCCGUGCAACUAUACCAUAACUGAGCACUAGUGGCAGCCCACGAGUACAAGCGAGAUUAGGUAGGUGGACAAGAUAUUGACCAAUAAAAAACACCACAUUCCUGUACAGUAGGUAGCAGUAUGCACCUGGCAGUUGCUUGCAAUCUGCAAUUAAGCUAAAUUUUGUAGUUUUUGAGCUUGUUAUGCUUCUGUUCAUAAUGCGGUCAAUUGUAUUGCUUGUUUUUUUUUUAUAUAUAUAUAUA